AUCUUAAACUGCAUCGGUAGAUCAUGAUUUUGCAUAUAUGACAUAUAACCUUAAAAAAUUAGUUAACAUCUGCAAAGGGGCUUCUGUUUGGAGAUCCUGAGGUUAUUUGUUGAUGAUGAUAUUUCAAUUUGCUUCCAUUUUCCACAUAAGCUUGUCGGUUUUCGCAAACAAUAUUUGUCGUUGCUAAAAGAUCUGUAAAAGAUGGUGUUCGCAAUGCCUCGAUGGAUGUCAAGCUAGGUACAUCUAUUUCAUGUUUUGUUGGAGUUGAAUCAUGAUCAACCUGUUAUAUGCUUUCAGUUUUGUUUAGCAUAUU
rnacentral:lncRNA from 1 species